rnacentral:tRNA from 1 species
UUAAUUGAAGCCAAAAAGAGGCCUAUCACUGUUAAUGAUAUUAUUGAAUUUAAUUCCAAUUAAA